rnacentral:sRNA from 12 species
CCUGUGGAUCGUUAUACAAACGAAAGUAGUUGGAAUGAAAAUAUAUUCAUUUUAACAAAAUCGGACGGGAUGAAGCAGGAA